GUGCUCGCUUUGGCAGCACAUAGACUAAAAUUGGAACAGAGAAGAUUAGCAUGGCCCUUGCACAAGGAUGACAUGCAAAUUCAUGAAGUGUUCCCUAUUUUU
rnacentral:snRNA from 1 species